rnacentral:lncRNA from 1 species
CGCGCUGCUCAGCGAGCUGGCCGACCUGGAGCUCCGCCGGCGCCGCUGCGACCUGGCCCUGGAAGGGGAGGACGAGGACCUGCUGGCCUUCAACCUGCAGAACCUGGCCACGGUGGCGGCCGCCUGGUCGCUGGUGGAGGCGGCCAGCCGGGAGGGCAGCCCGCCGGCGCUCAGCCCCCUGCCCACCUCGCCACCGCCCCGCGCCCGCGUGCCCCGCCGCAAGUACACCUGGACGCCCAAAACCAAGGCCGUGUGCCCCCUGAAGGCGGCCAUCGAGCAGCUCAACACGCAGGAGGUGGAGGUGCGGAUGCGGCUGGCCGAGCUGCAGCGGCGCUACAAGGAGAAGCAGCGCGAGCUGGUGAAGCUGCAGAGGCGGCACGACCACGAGCGCGACGAGAGCUCGCGGAGCCCGGCGCGGCGCGGGCCGGGGCGGCCGAGGAAGCGCAAGCACUCCAGCACGCUGGGCAGGGCCGAGAGCCGCAAGGUCAAGUGAGUGACCGGGGGGCGCGCGCCCGCCCGUCCCCGUGCCGGAGGCGGGGGGGGGGGUUUAGGGG